UACACUCCUGCGGGAGGCAGCAGUGGGGAAUAUUGGACAAUGGGCGCAAGCCUGAUCCAGCCAUGCCGCGUGAGUGAUGAAGGCCCUAGGGUUGUAAAGCUCUUUCACCGGUGAAGAUAAUGACGGUAACCGGAGAAGAAGCCCCGGCUAACUUCGUGCCAGCAGCCGCGGUAAUACGAAGGGGGCUAGCGUUGUUCGGAUUUACUGGGCGUAAAGCGCACGUAGGCGGACUAUUAAGUCAGGGGUGAAAUCCCGGGGCUCAACCCCGGAACUGCCUUUGAUACUGGUAGGCUUGAGUUAGAGAGAGGUGAGAGGAAUUCCGAGUGUAGAGGUGAAAUUCGUAGAUAUUCGGAGGAACACCAGUGGCGAAGGCGGCUCACUGGCUCGAUACUGACGCUGAGGUGCGAAAGCGUGGGGAGCAAACAGGAUUAGAAACCCCGGUAGUCCC
rnacentral:rRNA from 1 species